GUACACGCUGUGACUAGCAUAUCAACUAAGCGGAGGAAAAGAAACUAACAAGGAUUCCCCUAGUAACGGCGAGUGAAGCGGGAAGAGCUCAAAUUUGAAAUCUUAAAGGUUUCCCUUUACGAAUUGUAGUUUAAAGAAGUGUUUUCUGUUGAGGUUUUGGUAAAAGUUCUUUGGAAUAGGACAUCAUAGAGGGUGAGAAUCCCGUAUUUGACCUUUACUUUCAACUUUGUGAUACACUUUCAAAGAGUCGGAUUGUUUGGGAAUGCAGUCCCAAAGUGGGUGGUAAAUUUCAUCUAAAGCUAAAUAUUGGCGAGAGACCGAUAGCGAACAAGUACCGUGAGGGAAAGAUGAAAAGAACUUUGAAAAGAGAGUUAAACAGUACGUGAAAUUGUCCAAAAGGGAAGCGUUUGACACCAGUGUUGUUUUUCUGAAAAUCAAUUAAAGAACUGUUUAUGCUAAGCUGUUUAGACUUUAUCAGCUAUCUGUUUAGUUUUGAGCUUUUCUUUAAUGCACUUUUCAGUUAACAAGUCAACAUCAAUUUCUUUUGCUGUAAAAAAGCUUGAGGAAGGUGGCUUGAGAUUCGUCUUAAGUGUUUAUAGCCUCUUGCCUAUGCAGUCGGAGAGAUUGAGGUCUGCAGCGUAGAUCCUUCGGGGCUAAAUGCAUUUGUGCUAAGUUAUAGCAUUUUAUAGACAACUUGUUGACUAUGAUUUGUCUUGUAGCUUACUCGCUUAUGUUAUUUUACCUACGCUUAGGAUGUUGAAGAUGUAGCACAUCAU
rnacentral:rRNA from 1 species